GACGAACGCUGGCGGCGUGCCUAACACAUGCAAGUCGAACGGAAAGGCCCUGCUUUUGUGGGCUGCUCGAGUGGCGAACGGGUGAGUAACACGUGAGUAACCUGCCCUUGACUUUGGGAUAACUUCAGGAAACUGAGGCUAAUACCGGAUAGGAGCUCCCGCUGCAUGGUGGGGGUUGGAAAGUUUCGGCGGUUGGGGAUGGACUCGCGGCUUAUCAGCUUGUUGGUGGGGUAGUGGCUUACCAAGGCAUUGACGGGUAGCCGGCCUGAGAGGGUGACCGGCCACAUUGGGCCUGAGAUACGGCCCAGACUCGUAUGGGAGGCAGGGGUGGGGAGUAUUAUACAGUGGGAGGGAGCCUGGUGCGGCAACGCCGCGUGCGGGAUGACGGGCUUCGGGUUGUGAACCGCUUUCGCCUGUGACGAAGCGUGAGUGACGGUAAUGGGUGAAGAAGCACCGGCUAACUACGUG
rnacentral:rRNA from 1 species